rnacentral:rRNA from 1 species
UACAUAGGGGGCAAGCGUUGUCCGGAUUUAUUGGGCGUAAAGAGCGUGUAGGCGGCUUUGCAAGUCCGUUGUGAAAACUCGAGGCUCAACCUCGAGACGCCGGUGGAAACUGCAAAGCUAGAGUCCGGAAGAGGAGAGUGGAAUUCCUGGUGUAGCGGUGAAAUGCGCAGAUAUCAGGAAGAACACCCGUGGCGAAGGCGGCUCUCUGGGACGGUACUGACGCUGAGACGCGAAAGCGUGGGGAGCAAACAGG